rnacentral:rRNA from 1 species
UACAGAGGGGGCAAGCGUUAUUCGGAAUUAUUGGGCGUAAAGGGCGCGUAGGCGGCCUUGUAAGUCUUGGGUGAAAUCCCUCAGCUCAACUGAGGAACUGCCUCGGAUACUGCAGGGCUUGAGGCCGGGAGAGGGUAGCGGAAUUCCACGUGUAGCGGUGAAAUGCGUAGAGAUGUGGAGGAACACCAGUGGCGAAGGCGACUCUCUGGUCUGUAACUGACGCUGAGGCGCGAAAGCGUGGGGAGCGAACAGG